AACGAACGCUGGCGGCAGGCCUAACACAUGCAAGUCGAGCGCCCUUUCGGGGGAGCGGCGGACGGGUGAGUAACGCGUGGGAAUAUGCCCUUCUCUACGGAAUAGCCUCGGGAAACUGAGAGUAAUACCGUAUACGCCCUGUGGGGGAAAGAUUUAUCGGGGAAGGAUUGGCCCGCGUUGGAUUAGGUAGUUGGUGGGGUAAUGGCCUACCAAGCCGACGAUCCAUAGCUGGUUUGAGAGGAUGAUCAGCCACACUGGGACUGAGACACGGCCCAGACUCCUACGGGAGGCAGCAGUGGGGAAUCUUAGACAAUGGGGGCAACCCUGAUCUAGCCAUGCCGCGUGAGUGAUGAAGGCCUUAGGGUUGUAAAGCUCUUUCAGCUGGGAAGAUAAUGACGGUACCAGCAGAAGAAGCCCCGGCUAACUCCGUG
rnacentral:rRNA from 1 species